AAAGAAACCAACAGGGAUUGCCCCAGUAACGGCGAGUGAAGCGGCAAGAGCUCAAAUUUGAAAGCUGACUCCUUCGGGGUCCGCAUUGUAAUUUGCAGAGGAUGCUUCGGGAGCGGUCCCCAUCUAAGUGCCCUGGAACGGGACGUCAUAGAGGGUGAGAAUCCCGUAUGGGAUGGGGUGUCCGCGCCCGUGUGAAGCUCCUUCGACGAGUCGAGUUGUUUGGGAAUGCAGCUCUAAAUGGGUGGUAAAUUUCAUCUAAAGCUAAAUAUUGGCCGGAGACCGAUAGCGCACAAGUAGAGUGAUCGAAAGAUGAAAAGCACUUUGAAAAGAGAGUUAAAAAGCACGUGAAAUUGUUGAAAGGGAAGCGCUUGCGACCAGACUCGCUCGCGGGGUUCAGCCGGCAUUCGUGCCGGUGUAUUUCCCCGCGGGCGGGCCAGCGUCGGUUUGGGCGGUCGGUCAAAGGCCCUCGGAAGGUAACGCCCCCAGGGGCGUCUUAUAGCCGAGGGUGCAAUGCGACCUGCCUAGACCGAGGAACGCGCUUCGGCUCGGACGCUGGCAUAAUGGUCGUAAGCGAC
rnacentral:rRNA from 1 species